rnacentral:ncRNA from 1 species
GAGGUGAGUAGAGGCGCGAAUCGAUCAAGAGUACGUACGAGGAGAGACCGGGAUCUCAUUGAAUCGUGGGGAAAGGGACAUUCGCCGAAGUCGAGGACAUACCGGGUGACCUCAGGCUGGGUCUGCAUCGAACAGGUGCAGGACUGUCACGUGACGAAAUUCACCCGUCGUCACGUGGAGGACUAUCUCACAA